rnacentral:rRNA from 1 species
GAUGAACGCUGGCGGCGUGCCUAAUACAUGCAAGUCGAGCGAACAGAUGAGGAGCUUGCUCCUCUGACGUUAGCGGCGGACGGGUGAGUAACACGUGGAUAACCUACCUAUAAGACUGGGAUAACUUCGGGAAACCGGAGCUAAUACCGGAUAAUAUAUUGAACCGCAUGGUUCAAUAGUGAAAGACGGUUUUGCUGUCACUUAUAGAUGGAUCCGCGCCGCAUUAGCUAGUUGGUAAGGUAACGGCUUACCAAGGCAACGAUGCGUAGCCGACCUGAGAGGGUGAUCGGCCACAAUGGAACUGAGACACGGUCCAGACUCCUACGGGAGGCAGCAGUAGGGAAUCUUCCGCAAUGGGCGAAAGCUUGACGGAGCAACGCCGCGUGAGUGAUGAAGGUCUUCGGAUCGCAAAACUCUGUUAUUAGGGAAGAACAAAUGUGUAAGUAACUAUGCACGUCUUGACGGUACCUAAUCAGAAAGCCACGGCUAACUACGUG